AAAAUGUCAAACAUUUUCGAACAAUUGGACUUUCCUUAAUCUAUCUAGAAUUAAAAAGCACGACAUGCCUUUCUCUCGCAAUUAUCCUUCGAUGCUGUGAGACGUAUAACGGCGUGACCUACGCUGCUGGCGACGUCGAUGUCAGCGGUGUCCGUCGAGACGCCGACAGGAUCUCUACAAAGCGCAUGCGGCGAAACUUUUCGACUGGCACAGAUGCGAUCGCACAGUGGUCCGCUCCCCCAGUUUAUCCGACGACGUUUCUCAAUGCACGACGCGUAUAUUUUCCUACAUUUCAUGGUCCUAAUUAAAUACAAAAAUUACGAAAUAUACUUCUUACACGCGUAGUGUCCUGUGGAUCGCAUUCAAUAACUCGGAGGCUUUCUCAAUGGAGGGUUGAUUCUACGUUAAAGCUUACAUAAAUAAUUACUUUGAUGGGAAGAAAUAAUCAAAAGGAAGAUACGUUAUAUCGCCAAUCAACGUGAACAUUUUACGCGUGGUGACAAAUGAGAAGAUAAGAAAUGAUAAAAUUAAUGAUAAAAAUAUGUGUAUAAAAAAUCGAUAUAAAUGUUCUUGUUUUCUAUAACAUAUGGCAUUUAAAGGAAUUACUGAUAAUAUUAUAACUUCUCCGUUUAAAAUUUAAAGAAACAUUCUUUUAUCCAAAAUGUAUUGAACAAUAAAUAUUUCGUGCAUUAAAUGAAAUGCAUAACUUAGUCAUUGUAUAAUUUAAUUAAACGAGCGCAACAUUAGGCAUUUAUUUAAGAAAGAAUAAAGAAUCUGUGUCGAACAAAACUUAUUAUAGUGCUCAUUACGUACAAUUCGUACCUAAACGCAUCUACGCAGGAUACGUGAUUCAUGUAUUCAUCCAUGACUUUGACAACUCUCCGUCAAAUGUGCAAUGUAUGUGACUAUCUAACAAAUUUUAUCAAUGUGAAUUAUGCACUACGAGAAACAUCUGGGAAUUCCCAUUGGACAAUCAUUUUGCCUGGCAUUCUAUUCGAGCAUUCCAUACUCUGUGAUUGACACUGGCCUGGUCUAUAUCAUCGACGUUAUACCAACGAGUCUGGAAAAUGGCCAAUAAUAUUGCAAUGUGCUUUUUAAACUGACGUAUUUCACGACCGACUGUGUUUGCUCGAACAGCUUCUUGAUACAACAGGCAUCAAAGAUAGUAUUUUUUCUGUGAAUAUAAUCUCCAGAGCAAUCAUGUUCGUGCUUCAAAAACUAUCGAGUAAAGCUUGGGGAUGUCAUCAGAUAUCGACGACGAUUGACGGCCUGUCACGAUUUCGAAGAUCGGCAUCGCCGACGGAUUGGUCAAAUCUGACGUUCUACGAUUACCAAAAUUACAGCCACGAACUAAUUUUCGAGGAAUCGGAGAGCUUUUGCCAUUCGCUCUACUUCCUUCUGGAUUUCUGCCACUUGUACUACAUACCGUCCAUCAUCUUACUGGGUUUGGUGGGCAACCUGUUGUCGUGUGUGGUUUUCCUUAAGACACAUCUAAAACUGCGCAGCUCUAGUUACUACUUGGCGGCAUUAGCCACCGCUGAUUUUAGCUUUCUCAUGUCUCUGCUUCUCGUGUGGCUUAACAGUACAAUUGGAUGGAAAGUCUUUAACAACAAUGGCUGGUGUGAAACUUUGGUGUACGUCAGCGCGGUUUGUAGUUCACUUAGCGUUUGGCUAAUCGUUGCCUUUACUGUCGAGAGAUUUAUCGCCGUGCAAUAUCCGUUACAUCGGCCGCACAUGUGCACCGUAGCGCGUGCAAAGACAAUUAUUUUAGUAUUAACGAUUCUUGCUUUGGCUAGCCAUUCAUACUCCUUCAUUACCGCCGGGGUGGUGAAAAACGCGGGCGGCGACGAAGUGUGCGAUCUGAAGAUUGAAUACCUGGGGACCAUGCAAAUUAUUAGUAUCAUCGACAGUAUAGCGAGUUUGAUUGUGCCGCUUGUACUUAUCAUCGUGAUGAAUACCAUGAUUAUGAGAAAUCUUCUGAAGUUUGGCAGGCGGUUCAACCAAGAGCCCGGUUAUACUACAAAUUGUUCUAACAGGGAAAAAUCUGACAUCAAUCUCAAUCAAAUCCCGAGUGCCAAUAGCAGCAAUAACGGCGACGGCGGAAAUAUGAACCUAGUUUCACUCGUUGGCACGAAUGGAACGCGAAGACCACCUUCCCAGCAAUCAUCAUUUCACUCGUCCAAAAACCAUUCCCGGCAUCAACCUGCAUCUGCUCCGCCGUCGACACCGCGGAACGUCUGUCAGAUGACCGAAAUAGAAGCCCCGUGUAUACAUGUUAGGUCAUCUUGUCGGAAUCUGGGAUCGACCAGAUUCAAUCAAGAGAGCAUUACUAAAAUGCUCGUGCUCAUUAGCACGGUCUUUAUAUUACUUAAUUUACCAAGCUACGUAAUUCGCCUAUGCGUGUUCUUCUUCACUCUGGCAAAGAAGAAUACACCAGAGACGCUUUGGUGUCUUCAACAGUUCUUCAUGCUCCUCUAUUAUACAAACUUCAGCAUCAAUUUCCUUCUGUACGCCAUGUGCGGCAUCACGUUCCGUCGAUGUCUUGAGCAGAUACUGCGCAGAAUCCUAAAGAGUAUGACUCGGUAUCACUGCAGUCCACAAAGAACGAGGCGAACGGAUCGACCAUGGGACCGACUCCGGAACGAGUGGAUCGCGAAUUAUUCAAUUAAAUGUGGUGGCAAUCCUGAGUCUGAUCUUAACCGGAUUUAGCGCAGUCUUGGAUCUUAUUUGAGGGACAAGCACGGGACGAAGUGGUUUCGGAAUAAAAAUAGCAUCGCGAUUUUAAUUGCGUGCGCGUUUGCAGCGGCGUUGGCGGCUGCAUCCGCCGUUGUUACACCGGCCAUCGUCUUCCUAUUGGUACAUAUUCCGACAAUUUAGCGUGCGCACCGUAAAAGGUCUUGCGACGCCGCGUUCUUACUUCACGGACCGAGAAGAGAACAACAGCAUCGACACGGAACACCGUUAACCGAAGCCGUGCCCGGGAGAGGAAGGUCGCGAACGAUAUCUACAACAUGCUGAUUCCGCAUGAACGAACAGAAAUAUACGGAUGGUUUUCUUUUUCCCUUGCUCACUCGCCAAUCGUCUAACCGUUUCGUUCAACUCGCGGGGAUAUUUAUGACCCAGGAAACAAAACGGCAAGUGCACAGUAGAGGCUCAUUUGCAAGAGCCACCUAAAUCUAAACUUACGAGCGCGUGAACGCCUUGUAAUGAACUCGGCUUUCGAAUGACUACUGCGCCUCGAUUUUAUCGAUUUCGAUGCACCGCUGAAUCAACUUGCUCUCUUCGUUUUAUUCGUUCAGGAUAUAUAUGUCUCUCAGUAUCAUGUUUUAUUAUUUUAAUAAUACCAUUGAUAAUAAUUCCUAAUCUAUAGAAUAUCAGCUGGACGCUAUAAUAUUUCUAUAAAACUUUUAGUACAAAAUAUUUCAUUGAUGAGUAAAGACUUUAAAAUAAUUAGUAUCAAGAAUUUAGGUCGCAAAAUGGAAAAAUAAAAUUAUAAUCCGAAAUGAGAAAUUGAUGUAUACAGAAAGUUUUUAUGAGUAACUAUGAUCUAUAAAUAAUUUAUGGAGCUAGCUACAAUAAUAAGUGUAUAAUCGAUUAAAAUCACGUGACAAAUUAAAA
rnacentral:misc_RNA from 1 species